ensembl:lncRNA
UUUCUACACUCUGCUUCCUUAAUUCCACCACACUCCAGAUAGAUAUGCAUCUCCUGAACUAGUUUUCCAGCCAUUGCAGAAAUAUUUAAAUAAGCCACCAGAUCUGUUCUUCUUUCUGAUUUUCUGCUUUUUAAGAGACAAAUAGAUGGCUCACAGGAUGAUUUUACCCUGCAAUCCAUUCACACAACAAUUGUGAGGAGGAACCGAUAGAGCACACUCAGUCCUUUUGUGCUCCAAGUGGCACUUGUGGAAAGGAAAAACAUGGUCUUUUUCCUCACACUUUAAAGCCAGAACAGCUGAAUGGGAUGGAAAAGUAAGAAGAACACUACCUUUUCUGUAUAUCUUCUUUAUUAUCAAGAAAACAAACCUUUGGGUGGAAACUUAUGAUGAAGGAAAUUCUUUCUUCUAUGCAAUGGAAGAAUUGUUUUCACUUUAAUUUCCACCCUGGAGUCACACUGAUCAACACAGCAGCACAGGGAGGUGAAAACACCUUUUCACCGGGAGGUGAAAGGAGAGAAGAGGGGAGCAGAGAAAUCAAACUGCAAUGUAGAAAUCCAUUUAAAUAUCAUCACAUAUAAAGCUGUUGGCAAUGUCAUGUUAUUCAGUUUUCUGUUUCUCUUUUGCAUUCACAACACUGAUUCACAAAGCCCAGAUAAAAACUAUAAUUUUCC